rnacentral:rRNA from 1 species
CGCCUGUUUAACAAAAACAUUUUCUUUAGAUUUUAUUAAAGGUAAGACCUGCUCAAUGAAGUAUUAAAUGGCCGCAGUAUAAUGACUGUGCUAAGGUAGCAUAAUAAUUUGCCUUUUAAUUGGGGGCUGGAAUGAAAGGUUCUAUGGAAAAUAACUAUUUUGGUGAAAUAUAAUUGAAUUUAAGUUUUGUAUAAAAACUUUCAAGAGAUCUCAAGGGACGAGAAGACCCUGUGGAUUUUUAUUCCUUAGAAAGUAAAUUUAAUAAUUUUUUAUUUUUUAGAGGAAUUUAGUUGGGAUGACGGCAAUUUAACUUUGUUGCUGAGUUAUAAGAUCCUGUUUAAGGAAAAAAGAACAAAUUACCCCAGGGAUAACAGCGUAAUGCUUUUGGACAGGACGUAUGGAUAAAAGUGUUUGCGACCUCGAUGUUGAAUUAAAAUUU